GACGAACGCUGGCGGCGUGCCUAAUACAUGCAAGUCGAACGCACAGAUUAUACCGUAGCUUGCUACACCAUAGACUGUGAGUUGCGAACGGGUGAGUAACGCGUCGGUCACCUGCCUGGUAGCGGGGGAUAACUAUUGGAAACGAUAGCUAAUACCGCAUCAUAUUGAUUAUUGCAUGAUAAUUGAUUGAAUGAUGCUAUUGCAUCACUACCAGAUGGACCUGCGUUGUAUUAUCUAGUAGGGGAGGUAACGGCUCACCUAGGCGACGGUACAUAGCCGACCUGGGAAGGGGAUCGGCCACACUGGGACCGGGACACGGCCCAGACUCCUACGGGGGGCAGCAGGAGGGAAUCUUCGGAAAUGGACGAAAGUCUGGACGAACAAAGCCGCGGGAGUGAAGAAGGUUUUCGGAUCGGAAAACUCUGUUGAAAGAGAAGAACGGGUGUGAGAGUGGAAAGUUCACACAGUGACGGUAUCUUACCAGAAAGGGACGGCUAACUACGUG
rnacentral:rRNA from 1 species